rnacentral:rRNA from 1 species
UACGUAGGGCGCAAGCGUUGUCCGGAAUUAUUGGGCGUAAAGAGCUCGUAGGCGGCCUGUUGCGUCCGCUGUGAAAUCCCGGGGCUUAACCCCGGGCCUGCAGUGGAUACGGGCAGGCUGGAGGCAGGCAGGGGAGAACGGAAUUCCCGGUGUAGCGGUGAAAUGCGCAGAUAUCAGGAGGAACACCAAUGGCGAAGGCAGCUCGCUGGGACGGUACUGACGCUGAGGCGCGAAAGCGUGGGGAGCGAACAGG